CCUGACCAUGCCUCAAGUAUCUUUCCUGCUUCUCCUCUUCACUUACUGCACUGGUGCCUUUGCCCAGUUUGUAUUGACUCAGCAGCCCUCCAUAUCUGCAUCCCCUGGAGAAACAGUGAGAAUCCCCUGUACCAGGAGCAGUGGUGGUAUCAGAGGCAGCUAUGUAUCCUGGUACCAACAGAAACCUGGCACUGCUCCCAAACUACUGAUAUAUCAGUUCAGCAACAGAUACACAGGAAUCCCAGACCGGUUUUCUGGCUCUACAGACACCUCUGCCAACUCUGCCACUUUAACCAUCUCCAGCGUUCAAGCAGAAGAUGAGGCCGAUUAUUACUGUUUAUCUUAUUAUGGCGACGUGCAGCACACGGUGAUACAACCACAUGGGGAAGUGAGACAAAAACAGCAGUCCACUGUGGGUUGCAUUUGGUUGACCAAAAGUCAGAGGCUGCUGAUCGCAGUCUUACAAUCGCAAUGA